rfam:Canis lupus familiaris chromosome 20, whole genome shotgun sequence.
ACACCUGAAUCUUUUCCAUUUUUUGUUGCUUUGUGCGGGUGUGGGGACAGACAUGCAACAUUAUGAGCAGUGGAAUUCUAGUAGGGUUGUUUUCCUUUUGUCUUGGGGCCUGACUCCAUAGGCCCCCCAACUUGC